rnacentral:rRNA from 1 species
GACGAACCGUGCGAACGUUAUUCGGAAUCACUGGGCUUAAAGCGCGUGUAGGCGGACGUGCGCGUCUGAUGCUGAAAUCCCCCGGCUCAACCGGGGAACGGGCGCGGAUACGGCACGUCUGGAGGGGCGUAGGGGGACCUGGAACUUCCGGUGGAGCGGUGAAAUGCGUUGAGAUCGGAAGGAACGCCCGUGGCGAAAGCGAGGUCCUGGACGCCUACUGACGCUGAGACGCGAAAGCCAGGGGAGCGAACGGG